AACGAACGCUGGCGGCAUGCCUAACACAUGCAAGUCGAACGACACCUUCGUGACUGCUUGCUCUUGCGUGCGUCACGUGUCGGACCCUUCCCUUAUGCUCCGAAUUCUUCUCUUUCGUGGGUGCUAAUAUCGGAUAAUGUCUUCUGACCACAGAUUCGUCGCCUUUGUAUGGGGCAGCGUUGUUUUAGCUAGUGGGUAGGGUAAAAGCCUAUCACGGCGACGCUCCAUAGCUGGUCUGAGAGGAUGGGCAGCCACACUGGGACUGAGACACGGCCCAGACUACUACGGGAGGCAGGAGUGGGGAAUAUAGGACAAUGGGGGAAAGGCUGAACCAGCAAUGCCGCGUGAGUGAUGAAGGCGGUAGGGUUGUAAAGCUCGUUUACACGGGAUGAUAAUGACAGUACCGGGAGAAUAAGCACCGGCUAACUCCGUG
rnacentral:rRNA from 1 species